rnacentral:misc_RNA from 1 species
AAGUCGUAACAAGGUAACCGUAGGUGAACCUGCGGUUGGAUCAUUACGAAAACUGUGUGACUUCUAGUUUCGCUUCCUCGCGGGAGCGGGCUAGAUGAUCAUAUAGACACCAUGUGAAUUGUUUUCAAUGUAUUUGGCAAGUGAUGCAAGUGACCCUUCACCGGGGUUGCGAGCAGAAUUUCUAAACCAGGUAUCCCCGGAUCUUGGCCGCGAAAGCUUGUCCGUAGUUCUAGUCACACCCUCAUUAUUUUUUUAGUCUAAUCAACAUAUCUCUUGAUAUAAAAAACAACUUUUGGCAACGGAUUUCUUGGCUCUC